rnacentral:rRNA from 1 species
UACGUAGGGAGCAAGCGUUGUCCGGAAUCAUUGGGCGUAAAGCGCGCGUAGGUGGCUUCGUAAGUCCGUUGUGAAAGUCAAAGGCUCAACCUUUGAAAGCCGAUGGAUACUGCGGAGCUAGAGUACGGAAGAGGCGAGUGGAAUUCCUGGUGUAGCGGUGGAAGUGCGCAGAUAUCAGGAGGAACACCAAUAGCGAAGGCAGCUCGCUGGGACGUUACUGACACUGAGGCGCGAAAGCGUGGGGAGCGAACAGG